AAUAAAAAAAGAGAAAAAACAAAGAAAUUUAAAACUCUUGCUGUGAAAAGAAUGUAUCUGUGUAUAAGUCCCUUGAAUUAAAUUCUCCUGGAAAGCGUGUUCACAUUUUAAAAUUUUCUUUUAUUUAUUUUAUUUCAAUAGUUUUUGGAGAUCAGGUGGUUUUCGGUGAAUGUGCACAUUGACCAAAUGAAUGGGCAUGUGAAAGUGUGAUAUACAUGUAUAUAUACGUGUGUGAAAUGUAUGUCUCUGUGUGUGUGUGUUUCCGCUCUCACAGAGUUUACAUUCUAAAGGGAAGGUGUAAAGAUAAUACAUGAUGAUAUGAAUAAUACAAGUCAGUCCUGCUAAAUACCAGAAGGGAUACAUUUGCCAUGUGACCUAUGUAAUUUGGAAGACUCAACUUACCUCAUAUGUGAGUGAUUAGUUUCUGUGAUAUAAUUUAUCCACUACAAAAUCAAGCUUUGAUCCAUAAUUUUGAUUUACUUUUUCUAAACAGAUUCUUAUUAGUGGAAUUUUAAAAAAUGUUAUGUAACAAAAGCAACCUGAUGCCAUUCUUCUAAUUACCCAGGCUCACCUCUCUAGGGAAUUGAUUCUCAACUUCAGCAUGAACCAGGGCUUGUUACACAGAUUUCUAGGCUCCAUUGCCUGAGUUUCUGAUUUAGGAUGUCUGGGGUGGGGGUGAAGGGUGGGGGAACAUAAUUUGCAUGCUGCUAGUGUAGGGAUCACACUGCUCCAGGGUUAUCUUUGAAUUUGCCCUAUUGCUUGCCUUCCACAUCCAUGUUGACACCAAGGCUUAUCCUUCUUGUAUUCUCUGUCUUUCCCUUUCAUUUCCAUUCCUUUAUUUGACUUCUGCUUUUUUCUCUUGAUGAAGGGGGUAGAGGGGAGCACUGCUUUCUUCCCUGACAGGAUGGUUUGUAUUAUCUUUGUUUUUUUCUCUCUAAUUCUGUUGCUUUCAAACAUGCCCUUAACUCUUAGUUUCCUUUCUCACAACUUUUAUGAAGCUGCAGUAAGUGAAUGAAAGAAACUCCUAGAGAUAAGGAAGUCCUCCGUGGUUUGUUUAGCAGUGGAUAAAGAGUGGUUAGGUGAGCAAUUUUCUUUUACUGUUAUAAAAAUUGUUAAGAAAUAAAAAAAUUCUUGUUAUGAAGAAUAUUCAAGAGCAAUCUAAGGAGUAUAAAGGAGUUUCAGAGUUUAAAUUCCAAAGAGGAAGGACACAUGUCAAGCAUGUAUUAUUCAGAGACAGGAAAUAGAGCAAAGAAACUAAGUGUCUCCUGGGUAGUAGGGGCGAAAAGUAAUAAUGAUGAGGAUUUUUAAUUUUUCUAAUUAAGUAACACUUUGCCUCUUCUGAAAAGCUCUCACAUGCAUCAUACGUUUACAUCAAAAGGCAGAAAAAAUCAUUUUUAUUUUAAACUCAAAGAAAUAGACAGUUGUGAAAUUAACUGAUUUGUUGAAGGACACACAGGCAUUUAGAGGAAACAAAACUGGAUCCAAAUCAUCUAAUUACAGUACAAUCGUCUUUCAUUUAUGCCUCUACUUUAAAUUUUUGGGUUAUAAUCACUAUGAAAUAUGCUUUACAACUAAAGCUUCCUUGAUUCUUAAAGGUAGAGCUUAGCUCCAAAGCCAAUAUGAUGGACUACUUCUUUGUCUCAAACAGAUUUUUUUUUUUUUUUUUUUUGAUACAGAGUCCUGCUAUGUUGCCCGGGGUGGAGUGCAGUGGUGUGAUCUCCGCUCACUGUAACCUCUGCCUUCUGGGCUCAAGUGAUCUUCCCAUUUCAGCGUCCCAAGUAGCUGGAACUAUAGGCAUGCAGCACCAUGCCUGGUUAAUUUUUAUAGUUUUUGUAGAGCUGGGGUCUUGCCAAGUUGUCCAGGCUGGUCUCAAACUCCUCGGCUCAAGUGAUCCACCCACCUUUACCUCCCAAAGUCCUGGGAUUACAGGCGUGAGCCACCAUGCCUGGCCCCAAACACUUUCUUUCAUGAAUGUGGAUCAUUAACAUAGAGCAGUACAAGAUUUUAAUUGGAAUAUGAAUCUUAUAAUUUAUUCUCUUCAGGUUUUUUUUUUUUUUUUUUUUUUUUUUUUUUUUUAAGAGAUAGGUACCCAGGUUGGCCUCGAAACUCCUGGGCUCAAGUGAUCUUCCCGCCUCAGCCUCCUGAGUAUCUGGGACUAUUGGUGUGUACCAUCACACACAAUUUAUAUCUGCAGUUGUUGAAAGCAACUACCAUCUAUAUUAAACUUUGGAGUUACUGAAUUGCUAAGACAGUUACUCUGCAGGUCUAUUGGUUUGCAUAGCAGCUGUAAUGGAGAGAACUCAAAUUUCUUUUUAACUUUGUCAAGCUAUUCUUUUUUUUUAGGACUCUUUUUGGUUAGAGUAUGGGUGGGAACACAGAGUCCAACUCUACUCUUACAAGUAUCCCCGUGCUUUCUAGAAUCUUUUUAUACUAACAUUUGGACUUUUUGCUUUGAAUUUUUAUCACUUCCACUGGGCUCUUGGAAAGUUUUGAGGCUCCAUUUUUUUAUGUUUUCCCUAGAAAUUGAAAAGAACUUUGUUUGGAAAUGCGAGCUACAAUGAACCCAGGUCUUGAAUUAUUUCCACAUGUUCCGGCUGUCUUGCUUUUUGAAAUCUAGACCAAUUGUUCUAAAACUUUGUUAGGUUAGGGGAUCCUUCAGUUAGACAAUAGUCUUGAAAGACUGAUAGGAUUUCCAAACUGCCACUGCCAAAUAAUUCUGGAAUGAAAGGGAAGAGCAUUACUUCUUUUAAAUUAGGUGCCUGAUUGAUAUAUGCACAUUAUUAUUUUCAGAUGGGGCUAUAUUAUACACACCAUUACAAUAACAUUCAUAAUUUACUGAGGAUGUUCAUAAUUUACUAGAAAACUGAAGUCCACAUUUUAAGCAUAACUCAGAUUUAUAAAAUGACUCUACCUAUAGCUUUUGCAUCUGUGUCUGAGUGCACAAAUCCUUUGCUGGUUUUCUUAUGUCCAAAUCUAGUUAUCUCGGUUAACCACAGAAUCCUUCAGUGAAUCCAUUGGAGAAAUGUAUUUAUACAUCACGAAGAUACUUUUUGGUAGUACAUUGAAAAUUUUAUGUUGCAAAUUUAAAGACUUAUUUUAUUAUGUGAUCUAACAGAAUGUGUGAAUUUUACAUCUGAUAGGUCUACUUGAAGAGAUGUACAGAGGGGAGAGCAGAUAUGUUUAUGGAUCCAAGACCAGCAAAGUCAACUUUGGUUAAGGAGAUACUUUCACAGAUGGUCCUUCCUGCACCCCUCCCCCAUGUUCCUUAAUUUAAUGGCUUAUAAAUCAGCUAUCCAGGGGAGGAAAGGAUAUAAACUAUGUGACAGCACUCUAUAAAUCAUAAGAUGCUACAAAAUAAAAACAUUACUAUUUGAUUAAUUCACCUAAUAAUGGUGAUAUCCAUACCAUAUGGAAAAUUUCUUGUGAUUUACCUCUGGUUAUUAGUACAUUCACAUUUAUCCCAAGUAAACAAAGCAACUCACCACUACCCAAGUUUCUUCAUAAAUUCAGUAGUGAGUCACUCUGUUUAUUUGGAAGUGUGAAUACUGUGAUCUUUAAAAACUGAUUCUCAUAAAAGUACAUACAUUAAUUUACAUAAUGUCCUGACUUACAUUACCCUGCAAAGAAGGCAAAGUUCAUCUUAAGCAACGUUCUGUUUCAGUUGUACAAUUCCAUGUUUGAUGCCUUGCCUCUAUCUCUGUUGCUUUCCUUCCCUUCAGUCCCCAAUCUAAACUUCACUGUUUUAUGUCUUCUCUCUUGGAUUCCUACUAGCUGAUCUGAGAAACAAGGUUGUUUUGAGAAACUAAUUUGUUUUCAUGUAUCAGAAUUCGAGUAUGUAACUUUUCCCUGGUAAAUUAUUUGUCAUUUAAUAAGGGUAUUCUGAGGCCAGGCACAGUGGCUCAUGCCUGUAAUCUCAUAACUUUGGGAGGCUGAGGCAGGCAGAUGGCUUGAGCUCAGGAGUUUGAGACCAUCUUAGGCAACAUGGUAAGACCCUGUCUCUACAAAAAAUAAAAAAGUUAAAUGAGCGUGGUGGCAUGUGCCUGUAGACCCAGCUACUUGGGAGGCUGAAGUGGGAGGAUUGCUUCAGUCCGGGAGGUUGAGGCUGCAGUGAGCCGAGAUCAUGCUACUGCACUCCAGCCUGGGCGACAGAGUGAGACCCUGUCUCAAAAAAAAAAAAAAAAAAAAGAAUUUCAAAUAUAAUGAUCAUCACUGUUAUAGGUAUUCUUAGGUCCAAGAGAAUCUAGGUGACAUCACAAUCGCUUAUGUGCUCACUUAUAUGGAGGCACAUCCAUGGAAUGCCCAAUUCUAUGGGAAUUCCAUAUCUCUGUACCACUAUGGAGCUAUGAAAAAGGAUUGGCUGAGAGAUCAGAAGAUCUUAGCUCUGGAAUCAUAGAAUCCAGGGAUGAAACAUGAUCUUGCCCAUCUUGAUGACUGAAUCCUGUGUACAAAAUCCCUAAAAAUGUUCAUCCAUUCUCUCCUUGAAUGCGUCUAAUUACAGAAACUCACUCCAUUUAAAGGCAGUCUAUCUGAUAUUAGAGCAGAUCUGAUUGUUAACAAAAUUUUUCUUUUAUUUUGUGGAAAGGAUCUCCUGAUAGCAUCCAAUCAUUGGUCUAGUUCCACCUUUUGGAGCCAAACUAUACAAACUGAAUGUCUCCUCCUCUUAACCAUCUUAAUAAUAGCUACCACUUAUAGAGCACUUAUUAUAUGCUUGGAAGUACUCUAAAGACUUCACAUGUAUUAAUUUAUUC
rnacentral:lncRNA from 1 species